AUGGAACCGGGCACAGGGCACUUAAAAAUCAGCGUUAUCCUCAAGUUUCCACACAGUGCCCGCCAGAAGUAUGUCCGGCAAGCCUGGCAGAAGGAGACAUCAAUACAAAAUGGGCAGCCACUCGAUGGGCCAAGAAGAUUGAAGCCAGAGGAAGGAAAGCCAAGAUGAUAGAUUUUGAUCAUUUUAAAGUUAUGAAGGCAAAGAAAAUGAGGAGCAGAAUAAUCAAGAAUGAAGUUAAGAAGCUUCAAAAGGCAGCUCUACUGAAAGCUUCUCCCAAAAUAGCACCUGCUGCUAAGGGUGCUGCUGCAGCUGCUGCUAAAGUCCCAGCAAAAAAGAUGACCGCCGCAGGCAAGAAGACUCCAGCCCAGAAGGUUCCUGCCCAGAAAGCCACAGGCCAGAAGGCAGCGCCUGCUCCAAAAGCUCAAAAGGGUCAAAAAGGUCCAGCCCAGAAAGCACCUGCUCCAAAGGCAUCUGGCAAGAAAGCAUAAGAGGCAGUUAUACAAAGUAAUAAAGGUUCUUUAAAAAAAA